rnacentral:rRNA from 1 species
GAGCACGUAGGUGGGUUUGUCGCGUCUAUCGUGAAAGUCCGAGGCUCAACCUCUGAUCUGCGGUGGGUACGGGCAGACUAGAGUGAUGUAGGGGAGACUGGAAUUCCUGGUGUAGCGGUGAAAUGCGCAGAUAUCAGGAGGAACACCGAUGGCGAAGGCAGGUCUCUGGGCACUUACUGACGCUGAGGAGCGAAAGCAUGGGGAGCGAACAGGAUUAGAUACCCUGGUAGUCCAUGCCGUAAACGUUGGGCACUAAGUAGAGGGGUUUU